CGGGAUGUAGCGCAGCCUGGUAGCGUACUAGCAUGGGGUGCUAGGGGUCGCUGGUUCGAAUCCAGUCAUCCCGACCA
rnacentral:tRNA from 4 species